rnacentral:rRNA from 1 species
CCUACGGGAGGCAGCAGUGUGGAAUAUUGGGCAGUGGGCGCAAGCCUGACCCAGCAACGCCGCGUGAAGGAAGAAGGCUUUCGGGUUGUAAACUUCUUUUCUGAGGGACGAAGCAAGUGACGGUACCUCAGGAAUAAGCCACGGCUAACUACGUGCCAGCAGCCGCGGUAAUACGUAGGUGGCAAGCGUUAUCCGGAAUUAUUGGGUGUAAAGGGCGUGUAGGCGGGAAAGCAAGUCAGAUGGGAAAACUCAGGGCUCAAACCUGAGCCUGAAUUUGAAACUGUUUUUCUUGAGUGCUGGAGAGGCAAUCGGAAUUCCGGGUGUAGCGGUGAAAUGCGGAGAUAUACGGAGGAACACCAGUGGCGAAGGCGGAUUGCUGGACAGUAACUGACGCUGAGGCGCGAAAGCGUGGGGAGCAAACAGGAUUAGAUACCCCAGUAGUC